GUCUACAGCCAUGCUACCCUGAACACACCCGAUCCCGUCUGAUCUCAGAAACUAAGCAGGGUCUGGUCUGUUUAGUACUUGGAUGGGAGACCACCUAGGAAGACCAGGUGCUGUAGGGG
rnacentral:rRNA from 1 species